UUAAGAUGUUAAACCUAAAAUUUUCAGAAAACACAACUUUCCUCUUACCAAAUGUAUCUGCUUGGCAUCACAAAUCAACUGAACCGGAAGCCAGCACUUGACCAUGGCAGUGGUGCGGGUGUGCCUGCGCCUCCCUUUUCGGCGGACACUUCGUUCUUCUGCUUCGUCCACCGCAUCCCUAUGCUUCAAGCUCUCUCUCUCAUCUCAUAUAAUUAUCGAGAUACAUGUUCGCACCUGACCCACCUUCCAUUUUCAGAUCACUGUUACAACAAUAUCUAUUCUAUGGUCUGUUGGAGGGUGCCCGCCACCUGUUUGACACAAUGGCUGUGACGGAUAUCGAAACUCAUUUUUAUAAUACUCGUCAUUAAGGAUGAAUAUGAUGGGACAUACAUGUGUGAUCUUGGGUGGUGUAGGUAAGUCAUUUUGCUGAUUGAAGUCUAAAAGGUUUCCUACGUCAACUAUCUAUGCCAAACAGAAGAAAAACAAGCAAGGGACAAGUUGUCCCUAGUUUCUGCUUUCUCCUUGGUGGAGCUUUUUUUUCCCUUCUGCUUUAGUUCUUUCUCCUUGGGUUGUUCCUAAUGGCAGUGGCUCUUUCCCGUUUGUCGUGUUUUUCAUAGUUCUUUGCAAAUAAAUUUGCAAACAUUUGUUGGAUUUGUAUAUUUAUAAAUGAUUUAGUAUCGACAGA